rnacentral:ncRNA from 1 species
UCGGUCCCGGUUCACGCCGCACACUCCUUUCCGGUCCAUUCGGCCGGGGGAGGGCGACCCGGGGCC